AUACGGAGGGUGCAAGCGUUAUUCGGAAUCACUGGGCGCAAAGGACGCGUAGGCGGGUUGGCAAGUCAGAUGUGAAAUCCUACAGCUUAACUGUAGAACUGCAUUUGAGACUGCUAACCUAGAGUAUGGGAGGGGGAGAUGGAAUUAGUGGUGUAGGGGUAAAAUCCGUAGAUAUCACUAGGAAUACCGAAAACGAAGGCGAUCUCCUGGAACAUAACUGACGCUAAGGCGUGAAAGCGUGGGGAGCAAACAGGAUUAGAAACCCUAGUAGUCC
rnacentral:rRNA from 1 species